GGGCAACACCACUCACUGAUGGGCAGGAUGAGUUUCUCAGUCUAUCUCUUGCUGUUUGCUGUACAAAGCACAGAUUAUAAUGCGAAUCAGACGGUUAGUGAGGCUAUGAGGAAGUGCUAGGAAAUGAAGAAAAAAAGCAAGUGACUGGGGCAGACACAGCCAUUGCACCACUCUGGGGUUUCCACAGUUGGCUUGUUGGCUCAUCUAUGCAUACUUCAUGUUGUCUGUCCGCUAACCGGCCUGUACCCACUUAACUGUGAAUGACCACACAUCUGUCCUGGGCUGUGAGCAGCCACCAAUGCACUUAAGGAAUGAGUUGAUUUUCAGCAGACCUCAGGAGAAUGAAAGGGAAGUUUCCCCUUGGUCCCUAUGCUAGCUUUGGCCAAUGGGACAUUAGCAAACAGGCUUGAAAAGUAUCUUGAGACUCACUCCCUCAGAACCUGGUGACCACAAUGUGAACAAGCUUGAGAUGGCCUGCCUGAUGAUGAGAGACACAGAUACCAGCCAAGCCAUCUGUGUCACCCCAGCUGAUGUCAAGCCAAUAACCAGACAUCUGCAGGAGGCCCUCCUAGACCAUCUAGUUCCAGAAUCCACAGCAAGUUACAUUCCUGACUGGAGAUGUCAGGGGGACCUCGUGUGAACUGCCAGCACUAAAUCGUUUCUGAGGUUGGAAGAAAUAGUUGGGAGGCUGCCCUCACCUUCCAGCUUGGAACUGGACUGAGUGCAGUCCUAUGGCUCACUCUGCAGGCCACCCGCUUGGCUGGGACAUGGCUUUGGCAAACCUCGCUCCUGGCAGGCCGGACUCAUGAUAACUCUGGCAUUUCGAAGCGUGUGUCAGGGCAUGUGGAAGGAUAAUGCGGUGUGGUCACAGGGCAAGCCAAGACCAGGGAGAUGGCCCUGCAUGAUGGAAGGGAAGUUUACCCAAGGGGGUUGGGAGUCACAAUUUCUGAACCCUGAAAUCAUCCCUGUGAGGCAUUGGGGAGUGCCAAUUCUGAGGAUGAUGAGGGGGGCUGUGGGGCCUACGUUGACCCCCCAAAGCCAAUGACAAGUAUUUGGCUCAGUGAUAUGAGCCAAUUGAUGAUUCAGCCAACAUCUCCUCCUCCAGGAAGAUUUCUUGGGUUACCCCAUUAGCUUUUCUGAUGUUAACUGCCAUUAAGACUCCCACCCCAGGAAGGGAUGAUCUCUGCUGAGUUAUUUCUGCCACUAAAUUCUUCCCGUGAGAUCCUGUCAAAAAUUAUGGAAACUGAAGCUUAAACGAGAGGGCUUUUCACCUACUGCUUGAGCGGAGAGUUCCCACCUCCCUGGCAGAACGCCAUGUGACACAGAACGAUUGAACCCGUGUCCCAAAAAUGGCAUCAGAGGCCAUGAACCUCCCUCAGAAUGACACUUUCCCAGCUUCUUGUCCCCUCAUAGUACAGAUCCAAGUGCCUGUUGGUCCCGAAGAGGAGAGGAAAGCUUUCCUCUGCCCACCUAAGACCCUAUUCUUUUCUUGACCCAUGGGAGUAUUCAUGGCCUGUAGGAGAAACCCAUUUGGCAAGUGAUUCACUGGCCUGUUGAUUCAUUGAUCCACUGAUCUAUUGCUUGCAUGCAAAGCCCCAUUCCACCUGCUGGGCUUGUCCCCCUGCCUCCUAUAAGACACAGCUAAUGCAUUUCUAAAGCCUGGGUUUGCUGGUCUUAAAUGACAUCAUCUGGUGGUCACACCAUCCUGGCCCAGGUUAGGUCCUGGUCAUAGUCUUUCCUCUGACAUUAGGAGUGAAAAGUCCAGGCUCUCUGUCCCUCUGCUACGGAUGUCCCCUCAAUCUCCUGUGGGCAAAGAAAGGGAAAGGGCACACACACUUCCAAGAAACAAUGAUUUCCAGUUGUGGUGCUGUGUAAAUACAGAUUGAGGAAGGAAAACGUUCUCUAACUCAGCAAGGAGAUAGUGCUGGGAGCACUCCCAAUUUGCAUAAUAAAUAGAGCACUUAACUUAUCAGUCUGCGUUUCAGCUGCUUCAUGUCGUUGGGCUCCUCCUCCCCAGU